rnacentral:rRNA from 1 species
GGAUAAGGAAAGUAAAAAAGGGCGCAUGGCGGAUGCCUUGGCUCUCGGAGGCGAUGAAGGACGUGAUAAGCUGCGAUAAGCUUUGGGGAGGUGCAAAUGACCUUUGAUCCAGAGAUUUCCGAAUGGGACAACCCAAUAUCUUGAAGAGGUAUUAUCUUACUAUGUAAGAGGCUAACGCAGGGAACUGAAACAUCUUAGUACCUGCAGGAAAAGAAAAUAAACAAUGAUUCCCCCAGUAGUGGCGAGCGAACGGGGAACAGCCCAAACCAUCCAUGUUACGGCAUGGGUGGGGUUGUAGGACUACGCCGUUGCAUGAAGACAUCAGAGAAGAACUUUCUGGAAAGAAAGACCAUAGAGCAUGACAGUUGCGUAUUCGAAUGUUGUCGAAGCAUAGUAGUAUCCUGAGUAGCGCGGAGCACGAGGAAUUCUGCGUGAAUCUGCCGGGACCAUCCGGUAAGGCUAAAUACUCCCGAGAGACCGAUAGCGAACCAGUACCGUGAGGGAAAGGUGAAAAGCACUUCGAACAGAAGAGUGAAAUAGUUCCUGAAACCGUGCGCCUACAAGCGGUCGGAGCUCGUUAAUGAGUGACGGCGUGCCUUUUGCAUAAUGAACCUACGAGUUGCCUUUGCCGGCAAGGUUAAGUGUGACGACACACGUAUCCGAAGCGAAAGCGAGUCUGAACAGGGCGUAUAGUCGGCAGUGGCAGACGCGAAACCAAGUGAUCUACCCUUGGCCAGGUUGAAGGCUGGGUAACACCAGCUGGAGGACCGCACCAAUAAGCGUUGAAAAGCUUCUGGAUGAGCUGAGGGUAGGGGUGAAAGGCUAAUCAAACUUGGAGAUAGCUCGUACUCCCCGAAAUGCAUUUAGGUGCAGCCUUGCGGGUUACUGAUGUGAGGUAGAGCGACUGAUAAGAUGCGAGGGCUUCACCGCCUAUCAAGUCUUGACAAACUCCGAAUGCGCAUCAGUUCUACCGCAGGAGUGAGGGCAUGGGUGCUAAGGUCCGUGCCCGAGAGGAGAAGAAUCCGGACCACCUGCUAAGGUCCCGAAAUGACAGCUAAGUUAAACUAACGAAGUCUGACUGCUAAGACAGCUAGGAUGUUGGCUUGGAAGCAGCCAUUCAUUUAAAGAGUGCGUAACAGCUCACUAGUCGAGGAGUCGGGCGUGGAUAAUAAUCGGGUAUCAAGUUGUCUACCGAAGCAGUGGGAUCAUUAAUAUGAUCGGUAGGGGAGCAUUCCAGUCAGCGUCGAAGGCGUACCGUGAGGUAUUCUGGAGCGUCUGGAAAAGCAAAUGUAGGUAUAAGUAACGAUAAAGGGGGCGGGAAACCCCCUCGCCGAAAGACUAAGGUUUCCUGAUCAACGCUAAUCGGAUCAGGGUCAGUCGGGUCCUAAGGCUCAGCCGAACGGCGAUGCCGAUGGCAGAAACGGUUAAUAUUCCGUUACUACCUUCAGGAGUGACGUGGAGACGCAGUAGUGACAGUGCCGCCAUCUGACGGAAUAGAUGGUUGAAGGGUGUAGGAGUCGAUCAUGGCAGGCAAAUCCACCAUGAGAUCCGAACCUGACAGUAUGCCGCGUCCUUCGGGACAAGGCAAUAGUGCGCGUAAGCAUGCUGCCGAGAAAAUCCGCUAAACUUAAUCCUGCAGGUACCCGUACCGCAAACGGACACACGUAGUCGGGAUGAAUAUUCUAAGGCGCUUGAGUGAUUCACGGUUAAGGAACUAGGCAAACUGACCCUGUAACUUCGGGAUAAAGGGUCCCUACCCUUUUAUGGGAGGGCGCAGAGAAUCGGUCCAGGCAACUGUUUAACAAAAACACAGGGCUGUGCCAAAUCGAAAGAUCCAGUAUACAGCCUGACACCUGCCCGGUGCUGGAAGGUUAAGAGGAGAUGUCAUCGAUAAGAGAAGCGUUGAAUUGAAGCCCCAGUAAACGGCGGCCGUAACUAUAACGGUCCUAAGGUAGCGAAAUUCCUUGUCGGGUAAGUUCCGACCUGCACGAAUGGUGUAAUGAUCUGGACGCUGUCUCAACCGUGAGCUCAGUGAAAUUGUAGUAUCGGUGAAGAUGCCGAUUACCCGCGAUGGGACGAAAAGACCCCGUGAACCUUUACUAUAGCUUAUCAUUGAAUCUGGGCACGUGAUGUGUAGGAUAGGUCGGAGGCUUUGAAGCAGGUACGCCAGUAUUUGUGGAGCCGCUGUUGAAAUACGACCCUUUAUUUGUUUGGAUUCUAACCCGUGGAACGGGGACAUUGAUUGGUGGGUAGUUUGACUGGGGUGGUCGCCUCCAAAAGCGUAACGGAGGCUUCUAAAGGUGCCCUCCGGCCGAUUGGUAACCGGCCUUAGAGUGUAAUGGCAUAAGGGCGCUUGACUGGGAGACUAACAAGUCGAUCAGGUAGGAAACUAGAGCAUAGUGAUCCGGUGUUUCCGUAUGGAAGGGACAUCGCUCAAAGGAUAAAAGGUACUCCGGGGAUAACAGGCUGAUCCCUCCCAAGAGCUCAUAUCGACGGAGUGGUUUGGCACCUCGAUGUCGGCUCGUCACAUCCUGGGGCUGGAGAAGGUCCCAAGGGUUGGGCUGUUCGCCCAUUAAAGUGGCACGCGAGCUGGGUUCAGAACGUCGUGAGACAGUUCGGUCUCUAUCUAUCGUGGGCGCAUGAAAUUUGCGUGGCUCUGACACUAGUACGAGAGGACCGUGUUGGACAGACCUCUGGUUUGCCGGUUGUGCCGCCAGGUGCAUUGCCGGGUAUCUAAGUCUGGAUCGGAUAAGUGCUGAAAGCAUCUAAGUACGAAGCCGGCCACAAGAUUAGAUUUCUCAGGGUCGUUGUAGACUACGACGUUGAUAGGAUGCAGGUGUAAAGAUGGAGACAUCAAAGCCGAGCAUUACUAAUUGCCCGUUCACUUUCCUUA